rnacentral:tRNA from 2 species
ACUUAAAUAGCUUAUAGUUAGAGCAUGACAUUGAAGAUGUUAGGGAAAUAAAUUUAUUUUUAAGUG